rnacentral:rRNA from 1 species
GAGCGUAGGGGGCCAGCGUUGUUCGGAAUUACUGGGUGUAAAGGGUUCGUAGGCGGUGCGGCAAGUCGGGAGUGAAAUCUCUGGGCUCAACCCAGAGGCUGCUUCCGAAACUGCUGUGCUUGAGUGUGGGAGAGGCGCGUGGAAUUGCAGGUGUAGCGGUGAAAUGCGUAGAUAUCUGCAGGAACACCCGUGGCGAAAGCGGCGCGCUGGACCACUACUGACGCUGAAGAACGAAAGCUAGGGGAGCAAACAGG